GUCUGUUUGAAGGUAUAAAAAGUUUAACCUGCCCACUGAUAAAUUUUUUAAAGGGCCGCGGUAUUCUGACUGUGCAAAGGUAGCAUAAUCGUUAGUUUUUUAAUUGGAAUCUUGUAUGAAUGGUUUGACAAAAGAAAGUCUGUCUUUAUAAUUAUUUAUUGAAUUUAACUUUUAAGUGAAAAGGCUUAAAUGAAUUAAAAAGACGAUAAGACCCUAUAAAGCUUGAUAUUAAAUUUUUAUUUAAUUGAAUUUUAAAUUAUAAUAAAGAUUUAGUAAGUGAUUAUUUAUUUUAUUGGGGUGAUAAUAAUAAAAUGAUUAUUAACUGUUAAUUUUUUUAGACAAAAAUAAAUGAAUAAAAUAUAUUUAUUAUAAAAGAUCCUGUGUUAGAGAUUAAAAGUUUAAGUUACUUUAGGGAUAACAGCGUUAUUUUUUUUGAGAGUUCUUAUCGAGAAAAAAGUUUGCGACCUCGAUGUUGAAUUAAAAUAUCUAUAUAAUUGUAGCAGUUAUAUAAGAAGGUCUGUUCGACCUUUAAAAUUUUACAUGAUUUGAGUUCAGACCGGCGUGAG
rnacentral:rRNA from 1 species